rnacentral:rRNA from 1 species
UACGUAGGGGGCUAGCGUUGUCCGGAAUCAUUGGGCGUGAAGCGCGUGUAGGCGGUUCGGUAAGUCCGCUGUGAAAGUCGGGGGCUCAACCCUCGAAUGCCGGUGGAUACUGUCGGACUAGAGUACGGAAGAGGCGAGUGGAAUUCCUGGUGUAGCGGUGAAAUGCGCAGAUAUCAGGAAGAACACCCGUGGCGAAGGCGGUUCUCUGGGACGGUACUGACGCUGAGACGCGAAAGCGUGGGGAGCGAACAGG